CGGGGGUAGAGCACUGGAUGGGCUAGGGGGUCCCAACGACUUACCAAACCUAACCAAACUCCGAAUACCGAAGAGUAAUGCACGGCAGACACACUACGGGUGCUAAGGUCCGUAGUGGAGAGGGAAACAGCCCUGACCGCCAGCUAAGGUCCCUAAGUUAUCACUAAGUGGGAAACGAUGUGGGAAUGCUUAGACAACCAGGAGGUUGGCUUAGAAGCAGCCAUCCUUUAAAGAAAGCGUAACAGCUCACUGGUCAAGCGUUCCUGCGCGGAAAAUGUAACGGGGCUUAAGUGAUACACCGAAGCUGCGGGCUCGAAAGAGCGGUAGCGGAGCGUUCCGUA
rnacentral:rRNA from 14 species